rnacentral:lncRNA from 1 species
ACCGCCCUGCAUCCACCAGUCCUAUCCCAACCCUCACAUGAAGUAUUGUUAGCCCAAACCAAAAUACUGGGGUAGUCCAACCAGAUAAACCAGCCACCUGCCCACGCCCAGCACAAGCUAGUUUAAAACUCAAAUAUUAAAACAAAUCUUGCUGAACUCCACCCUGUUGACAGUCAAUUGAAUCGGUUCUCGACUUCUAUAAUAACUAUAAGGACUAGUAUUCCUCAAGAUUUUUCUGCUAUAUUAGAUGUGUUAUUUACUAUCAUCUUUAAGAAUAAGGAUUAGACUUGCCAUAU